UCGUUCAAAGUGGAAACACUGCCCCCUGUCCAUAACUUAUACAGCUGCAGACUGAAUGUUCAGAUGUAGUCUUUAUCUUCUUCACUCGCGUGGAGAGUUUCUAAACAUUUCGUAACGUUCAGCUCACGCUGUCGGUCACGCUGGUCUAUAUUUAAAUUGCAACCAUUUCAACGUUUUCAGCUCGRGCUGCACGUAUCCUGGUCUUGUAGUUUUAAACCAUUUCAACAUGUAGCAACCGCUCCAUGCUUUCUGGUCUGUAUGUCAAUUCUUCAGUCCUUUUAAGCACUCACCUUGGAGGGUGGUUCCAUCAUGUUGCCACAAUGUUGCCAAAUGUCCCAAAACCAUUACAGUGUAAGAAUUGUGAAGGAUUUGGCCAUGUUUCAAGUGUGUGCAGAUGGACAGUUUAGUUUAGUUUAUUUAUUUAUUUUGGUCGUUUGGUCGUUUUUUGCUAGUUUGUUCCAUUUUUGGGAAUCCUGUUUCCAUCCCGCACAGUAGUUGGUGGGUUGCACAUUAAAUUGUGCGAUCGCCAAUAUACCAUAGAAGAAGAAGAAACGUCUUGAGAAGAAUAAACAUUAACAUCGUGAAAUGUGAGUAUUAUGUUUAUUUAUUCAACAAAUUACGUUAAAAUGUUCAUCAACAUACUUUCAUAUGAAGGUUAAAUUCAAUUAUUAGGACAUAACGCAGAAUCAGGUCUCUAGCCAAGCUAGCUACCAGGUGAUCUUGUCGUUUUUUACGCUAUGAACAACUAAUUGUAUAUUCAGGAAUGUGUCAAUGAUGUAGGAAUGCACAGUUUUAAAAUUCUUAAUUGGUGAUCUUGCUAGCCAGCUAAUGACAAAUCAAAUUUUUCAAACUGUUUUCAUUCAGGGACGAAAGAGGACAAUGCAUUGGCAGGCCAAACUCUUUCCCGACUGGUUUGAAGUCUAUCUACAGGUGACCAGGUGGACCMCUUCACCAAGCAGGCCUUCGCUGCAGUCUUACGUCACCAGCAGAACCCAAAGGUCUAUGAUGAGAUUAAGAUCGUGCUUCCAACCUGCCGCCUCGAUACCUCAG